rnacentral:rRNA from 1 species
UGGGGAAUAUUGCGCAAUGGGGGGAACCCUGACGCAGCCAUGCGCGUGAAUGAAGAAGGCCUUCGGGUUGUAAAGUUCUUUCGGUAUUGAGGAAGGUUGAUGUGUUAAUAGCACAUCAAAUUGACGUUAAAUACAGAAGAAGCACCGGCUAACUCCGUGCCAGCAGCCGCGGUAAUACGGAGGGUGCGAGCGUUAAUCGGAAUAACUGGGCGUAAAGGGCACGCAGGCGGUUAUUUAUAUUUAAGUGAGGUGUGAAAGCCCCGGGCUUAACCUGGGAAUUGCAUUUCAGACUGGGUAACUAGAGUACUUUAGGGAGGGGUAGAAUUCCACGUGUAGCGGUGAAAUGCGUAGAGAUGUGGAGGAAUACCGAAGGNGAAGGCAGCCCCUUGGGAAUGUACUGACGCUCAUGUGCGAAAGCGUGGGGAGCAAACAGGAUUAGAUACCCUGGUAGUCCACGCUGUAAAAACCCUUCGAUUUGGGGGUUGGGGUUUAACUCUGGCGCCCGUAGCUAACGUGAUANUCGACCGCCUGGGAGUACGGCCGCAAGNU